CUGGCCGGGGGAGGGAGGGAGGGGACGGUUUCGGGCACACCCAGGGCCAACCACAGGCUUUGGGGCCCCGGGGGGCCCUCCCUUCCGCCAUUCCCAAGGACCUCGGCAUCUGGCCCAAACCACUGGAGCUUCUCCGCGCAGGGACCCAGGCGCCCUGCUCGUCCAGCCCCCUCCUCCCGGGACCCGGGCGCCCUGCUCGUCCGCCCCCUCCUCCGGCGGCUCCAGAACUCGGGCUCCUCCUCCCGGGGCCACACCCCGCCAGGUGAAGGCUUAGGGACUGCGGGAGCCCGGCGGCGGCGGGAUCGCUGGCGAGAUGAGCGGCCCGGCAGGGCCCGCGGCGGCCCCCAAGCCCAGCGCCAAGUCUAUCUAUG